rnacentral:rRNA from 1 species
UACGUAGGGGGCAAGCGUUGUCCGGAUUCAUUGGGCGUAAAGAGCGUGUAGGCGGCCAGGUAGGUCGGUUUGAAAACUGGAGGCUCAACCUUCAGAGGUCGACCGAAACCAUCUGGCUAGAGUCCGGGAGAGGAGAGUGGAAUUCCUGGUGUAGCGGUGAAAUGCGUAGAUAUCAGGAGGAACACCGGUGGUGUAGACGGCUUUCUGGACCGUAACUGACGCUGAGACACGAAAGCGUGGGUAGCAAACAGG